rfam:Gossypium arboreum cultivar AKA8401 contig_4751_7, whole genome shotgun sequence.
AAUCCAUGGUGCGGGAAUUUUUGAAUCAACAUUUUGAAACAUUCCCAGGCCUCAUAAAAAAUUUCUUCCUCCAUUUGUCUAAAGACAAUAAUAUCUCUUCUUAGUUG